rnacentral:rRNA from 1 species
AACGAACGUUGGCGGCGUGGAUUAGGCAUGCAAGUCGAACGAGAAAAAUACUUUCGAGCAUUGAGUACAGUGGCGAAAGGGUGAGUAAUGCAUAAAUAACCUGCCCUCGAGAUGGGAAUAACACUUCGAAAGGGGUGCUAAUACCCAAUAAGACCACAGGCUGUAAGGUCAGUGGUUAAAGAUAGCUUCGGCCUUCACUCGAGGAGGGGUUUAUGUCCUAUUAGCUAGUUGGUGAGUUAACAGCCCACCAAGGCGAUGAUGGGUAGCCGGCCUGAGAGGGCGAUCGGCCACACUGGGACUGAGACACUGCCCAGACUCCUACGGGAGGCUGCAGUCGAGAAUCUUCCGCAAUGCGCGCAAGCGUGACGGAGCAACGCCGCGUGAGGGAUGAAGGCCUUCGGGUUGUAAACCUCUGUCAUCUGGGAAGAAAGGUGAGUAGUUAAUAGCUGUCUCACUUGACGUUACCAGAGGAGGAAGCACCGGCUAAAUACGUG